rnacentral:rRNA from 1 species
AGGGAGGCAGCAGUGGGGAAUAUUGCACAAUGGGCGAAAGCCUGAUGCAGCGACGCCGCGUGAGCGAAGAAGUAUUUCGGUAUGUAAAGCUCUAUCAGCAGGGAAGAUAAUGACGGUACCUGACUAAGAAGCACCGGCUAAAUACGUGCCAGCAGCCGCGGUAAUACGUAUGGUGCAAGCGUUAUCCGGAUUUACUGGGUGUAAAGGGAGCGUAGGCGGUUUUACAAGUCUGAUGUGAAAGCCCGGGGCUCAACUCCGGUAUUGCAUUGGAAACUGUAGAACUAGAGUGUCGGAGGGGUAAGUGGAAUUCCUAGUGUAGCGGUGAAAUGCGUAGAUAUUAGGAGGAACACCAGUGGCGAAGGCGGCUUACUGGACGAUUACUGACGCUGAGGCUCGAAAGCGUGGGGAGCAAACAGGAUUAGAUACCCUGGUA